ACCAACAGGGAUUGCCCUAGUAACGGCGAGUGAAGCGGCAACAGCUCAAAUUUGAAAUCUGGCUCUUUCAGAGUCCGAGUUGUAAUUUGCAGAGGGCGCUUUGGCGUUGGCAGCGGUCCAAGUUCUUUGGAACAGGACGUCACAGAGGGUGAGAAUCCCGUACGUGGUCGCUAGCCUUCGCCGUGUAAAGCCCCUUCGACGAGUCGAGUUGUUUGGGAAUGCAGCUCUAAAUGGGAGGUAAAUUUCUUCUAAAGCUAAAUAUUGGCCAGAGACCGAUAGCGCACAAGUAGAGUGAUCGAAAGAUGAAAAGCACUUUGGAAAGAGAGUCAAAUAGCACGUGAAAUUGUUGAAAGGGAAGCGCUUGCAGCCAGACUUGCCUGUAGUUGCUUAUCCGGACUUUUGUCCGGUGCACUCUUCUGCGGGCAGGCCAGCAUCAGUUUGGGCGGUUGGAUAAAGGUCUCUGUCAUGUACCUCCUUUCGGGGAGGCCUUAUAGGGGAGACGACAUGCAACCAGCCUGGACUGAGGUCCGCGCAUCUGCUAGGAUGCUGGCGUAAUGGCUGUAAGCGGCCCGUCUUGAAACACGGACCAAGGAGUCUAACAUCUAUGCGAGUGUUUGGGUGUCAAGCCCAGACGCGUAAUGAAAGUGAACGGAGGUGGGAACCUUUUAGGUGCACCAUCGACCGAUCCUGAUGUCUUCGGAAGGAUUUGAGUAAGAGCAUGGCUGUUGGGACCCGAAAGAUGGUGAACUAUGCUUGAAUAGGGUGAAGCCAGAGGAAACUCUGGUGGAGGCUCGCAGCGGUUCUGACGUGCAAAUCGAUCGUCAAAUUUGGGCAUAGGGGCGAAAGACUAAUCGAACUAUCUAGUAGCUGGUUCCUGCCGAAGUUUCCCUCAGGAUAGCAGUAACGUAUUCAGUUUUAUGAGGUAAAGCGAAUGAUUAGAGGCCUGGGGGUUGAAACAACCUUCACCUAUUCUCAAACUUUAAAUAUGUAAGAAGUCCUUGUUACUUGAUUGAACGUGGACACUUGAAUGUACCGUUACUAGUGGGCCAUUUUUGGUAAGCAGAACUGGCGAUGCGGGAUGAACCGAACGCGGGGUUAAGGUGCCAGAAUAUACGCUCAUCAGACACCACAAAAGGUGUUAGUUCAUCUAGACAGCAGGACGGUGGCCAUGGAAGUCGGAAUCCGCUAAGGAGUGUGUAACAACUCACCUGCCGAAUGAACUAGCCCUGAAAAUGGAUGGCGCUCAAGCGUAUUACCCAUACCCCGCCGCCGGGGCAGAAUUUAUGCCCCGGCGAGUAGGCAGGCGUGGAGGCUCGUGACGAAGC
rnacentral:rRNA from 1 species